rnacentral:lncRNA from 1 species
CCCCUCCUGGAGAGUGUUUCCUGCUGGACCUUAGGAGGACUGGCGCUGGCUCAGGUGCUCUUCUUCUAUGUGAAGUACUUGGUGCUCUUCGGUGCCCCGGCUCUGCUCAUGCGCCUGGACGGACUCACACCACCACCCCUUCCCCGCUGCGUGAGCACCAUGUUCAGCUUCACAGGGAUGUGGAGGUAUUUUGAUGUUGGACUACACAAUUUCUUAAUCAGGUAUGUGUAUAUCCCACUGGGUGGGUCCCAGCAUGGCCUGCUGGGGACGCUGCUUUCUACCGCGAUGACGUUUGCGUUUGUGAGCUACUGGCACGGCAGCUAUGAGGACCUCUGGUGCUGGGCAGCGCUCAACUGGCUGGGAGUCACUGUGGAGAGUGGGGUCCG